AUCGAACGCUGGCGGCAGGCCUAACACAUGCAAGUCGAACGAAGUGGCGGACGGGUGAGUAACACGUGGGAACGUGCCUUUAGGUUCGGAAUAACUCAAGGAAACUUGUGCUAAUAUCGACGGCCUUUAGAGCGGCCCGCGUUUGAUUAGCUAGUUGGUGAGGUAAAGGCUCACCAAGGCGACGAUCAGUAGCUGGUCUGAGAGGAUGAUCAGCCACAUUUGGACUGAGACACGGCCCAAACUCCUACGGGAGGGAGGAGUGCGGAAUCUUGCCCAAUGGGGGAAAGGAUGACGCAGCCAUGACGGGUGAAUGAUUAAGGUCUUAGGAUGGUAAAAUUCUUUCACCGGGGACGCGGUACCCGGAGAAGAAGCCCCGGCUAACUUCGUGCCAGCAGCCGCGGUAAUUC
rnacentral:rRNA from 1 species